CACUAAUCCACCGGUAAGGAUAGGUAGAGUGACCGGGCGGCACUCGUCGAUUCUCUGACCGAGUCGCAGAGAACCUCGUAACUCGAGUCGCCCCGGACGUUCCAGCACUUCCAUACGUACAGACUCACGCUUCCGUUCGUCAGUCGGUUGGUCUCAAAGUCACGAUACAAUAAGGCCAGAUAGACCUGCGGAACCUUCAGUGCAAGUGUCGAAUGAGGGAUGCAUGUGUAGAUCGCCUAGACGUUUUCGGGACUUCCCACGGAGGUUGAUGGAGGGUGUGCCUUUUCUCGGGCGGUGCGCUGUGUGAAAAUGCAGCUGUGUCUUGACCAGGGUACAAGACGAGAAUACCACUUUGCUGUGCACUUCUCAUCCAAGUUUCUGUUCAACAGUCUCAUACGGUCCCUGGAGUCCUCGUGCUCCAGGACGAGCAUUCAUGUCACAGGUCCAUUUGCACAGACACAGAGCCUGCAUCCGCACGAACGUAAGUGUGCGCAAAUCACCGAGCCACCAAUAGUGGCAAAAAAACCCAAGGAGGGACGAAGGGCAACGGAUAAACGUACCAGAUGCUGCGCGUAUCUGUUCUUUGUGUGCGUUUUCUACUUCCCCUUAAACUUGGGUUUGCGUCGUUCCCUAAACGCCAGCAGCCCUUCGCUCCGAUCCUCGCUCGAGAGGACUCUGUCAUACGCUUUGCCCUCGAGGACAAGCCCCGCUUUCAUACUCACAUCGACUGCGGAAUUUGCCGUUUGCUUGGUGACUCUCACCGAGAGGGGGGCCAACGACGCGAGCCGGCAGGCGAGGCGUAUUCCGACACGAAACGCAUCUUCUCCCUCCCACUCCGCAUCCGGGAUUUCCGUUUCAAACGAACUUUUCUUCUGAUGUGCGGGAAUGGCAUCUGUAGCACUCUCCAGUGCUGCUUCGUGUUGUUGUGGAAGGUCUCGGCUCCCUGAAACAUCGCUGUCGCCCGGCCCUGCGCCGGUUUCUGCCUGGCCUGCGGUGCGCGCCUGCCUACUUUCGAACCGAUUUCUCCUCGCCUCGAGGACAAUCCGCUGCGCAACCUGCUUCUCUUCCGUCUCGUUCCCUCCGCGCGGGAAACCCGGUUCCCCCCUGUCGGCUUUGUGGCGCCUCAGGCCCGGACUGAACCGCCAUAUCUUGCAAACCUCAUCUUCGUUGUGGCCAGCCAUGACGUCGACCAAGCCCCACUGGACAGCUUGCUUCGGUCCAACGUUCCCGCCCGUCAAGAGCAGCAGCUUCGCUUUCUGAGGACCUACUACGCGCCACAGCCUCUGUGUGCCGCCGGCACCGGGCAUCGUGCCCAGAGAAACUUCCGGGAGGCACAACUCGAGUGAGGAACACCACGAACAGGACUUCCGAGCGAGUGCCGCUCUUUGUCGCGGGCUCAAGGGCGGAGCUGCGCCGCCUUUCUCAUGAUGUUUCGCGGCGCUCUUUUCCAAAUCACCCUUACGAACGCUCGCCACGACUCCCGGCGGGUCGCAAAUUCCGUGGGAACUCUCACCUGCGGAGCUCAGACUGUUUUGUUCUUGCGUUCUACUCAGACCGGCGUCUGGCGACAGGUGCGUCGCCUGCUCGAGAGCCGGCCUCAAGGGGAGGUCCUUCUUCUGAGAUUGUUGGCGAGUAACCCGCGACUUCAGUGACGCCGACUGAGGCUUUUCGCCGUCGUCUUUAGGGUGACAUGGACUGGAAAGAGGGGCAAACAAGUCUCGAGGGGGAAGUGUAGACGGAGGAGGACGCACAGAAGCAACGCGGAAAUCUGCUGCGAGAGCGAGUUCGAGACCACCCCCCAUGACGGCUCCGUGCAGGCACGCUAUUGUUGGAUACGGCACUUCGGAAAGACGCUCGAAACACGAGCUGCGAAAGGGAAAAAGCAAGAUAAAGCAGAACAUGAAAGGAAAGUGACGGCAAAGGCGAUCUUCAGUUCGUCCUAACAUUGACUACUGCACGCAACCAUAGUGUAACAGGAGUCUUGGCGAUGCUUCACACGGGUACUGAGGAACAGGGAGGAAAACGGAGACGAGGUAGGGAAGUUGACGCUGACAGUUUGGCAAUGUCGUGCUCAGAUACAAUGAAGCUCAAGGAAACACCUUUGGCGAGUCCACUAAAAAGCACACACAUGCGGCAUUGUCGUUAUGUGUCUUGUAUGAAUGCGUAACUGUAUACAUCUAAAGGGCGACAGGAGAAGCGUGAAAAAUAUAGGCACCUGCAGUGCGAUUGUCUCCUGCGGCGUUUUGUGCAUCGUAGGCGUGUCAAACAUGCACCCCAUGCCUAUAAUUCCGGGUUUGACUAUUUCGAGUGGCUGCCGGACUACUGGAGUGACCAAGUUCACGAUCAAACAUGCGUCGGGAUGUGCGACCGCUGUCCUCUGCAUUUAUCCUCUUGAGACACACAGAAUUUCAAACGUUCUCACAGAAGAAAUCCACGACCCUCUAUAGCUGCUUACCGUAAGCGAUCGACAAAUUCUCUGCUGGAUUCGCAGGUCAUGCCCACCCUUUCCUUCAAAUCUGCACCACCGCAGAACACUCCGGGGACUGCCGAUCGGAUAAGCAGCGCAUGGAAAUCGGAUUCUUUUUCCGCAUGGGCAUCUACGAGAUUUAAGCACGUUUCAAACUCUUUGAGAACUUCUUGAUUUAUUGCGUUCUUAGCAUCCGGCCUAUUCAACGUAAUCACUGCAAACUGUCCCCCGGAAAUCAGUUCCGCCUCAAUGUACUUGUGAUCAGGCGGUGUUAGCACGACAUAACCCGGUUUUGGGAGAAACCCAGACUUCUGUUCAGGGGAUAUGUCGGGCACGAUGGCGGUAGAUGAAGAACUGGUGAAAAACGAGAGUCCUUCUGACGUGCUUCUGACCUGUGUUGGCACGUUACUCUCAACACAAGGUUCCAUGCGUUUCACCAUUGGGGACAGGACACACUUUGACGCGGCGGCAGACGGGCAUCGGGAAAGAUCCCCUAAAGUCGAAUACACAGGUCUGCUCACAAUGCCCAUUUCUGCUUGUGACAAUGAAGAAAGAGAAGAAAACCCAGCCAGAACCGCGGUAGGUUUCUCUCGCCGAGUCCUCCGCUGACAUGCCUGGCGAAUGGCAGCUGAGCGUGAAAAUGCAUGACGCCACAUCUUCGUUUCUCAGGGAGAGUAACGCUGGAAAAUUCAAGGGAUACCACGACUCUUGUCGGCCGCCAAUAUAAGUGACGCCUCGUACUAUCACGCGCUUAAUGGAGUUUUUGGCAAG
rnacentral:lncRNA from 1 species